GGGCUGGCUUUAGUCCAGCGGUUCCUUCGAGUCUGGCUACCCAACUGCCUGGGCCGAUUGGUCCAGUGGUUCGAGACCCUCAGGCGCUCUCCAGUCCUUUU
ensembl:misc_RNA Vault Vault RNA